rnacentral:rRNA from 1 species
GAGUGAACGCUGGCGGCAGGCCUAACACAUGCAAGUCGAGCGGCAGCGGGUCCUUCGGGCUGCCGGCGAGCGGCGGACGGGUGAGGAAUGCAUCGGAAUCUGCCCUGUCGUGGGGGAUAACCUAGGGAAACUUAGGCUAAUACCGCAUACGACCCACGGGUGAAAGCGGGGGAUCGCACGACCUCGCGCGAUAGGAUGAGCCGAUGUCCGAUUAGCUAGUUGGCGGGGUAAAGGCCCACCAAGGCGACGAUCGGUAGCUGGUCUGAGAGGAUGAUCAGCCACACUGGGACUGAGACACGGCCCAGACUCCUACGGGAGGCAGCAGUGGGGAAUAUUGGACAAUGGGCGCAAGCCUGAUCCAGCCAUGCCGCGUGGGUGAAGAAGGCCUUCGGGUUGUAAAGCCCUUUUGUCCGGGAAGAAAUCGUCUGGGCUAAUACCCCGGGCGGAUGACGGUACCGGAAGAAUAAGCACCGGCUAACUUCGUG